UACGUAGGUGGCAAGCGUUAUCCGGAAUUAUUGGGCGUAAAGAGCGCGCAGGUGGUUGAUUAAGUCUGAUGUGAAAGCCCACGGCUUAACCGUGGAGGGUCAUUGGAAACUGGUCGACUUGAGUGCAGAAGAGGGAAGUGGAAUUCCAUGUGUAGCGGUGAAAUGCGUAGAUAUUAGGAGGAACACCAGUAGCGGAGGCGGCUCUCUGGACUGUAACUGACGCUGAGGCACGAAAGCGUGGGGAGCAAACAGGAUUAGAUA
rnacentral:rRNA from 1 species